CCACCCCUCUCUCAUCUUACACCCUAGCUGCCCCUCUUUCAUUUAACACUCUAUCCGCCCUACUCUCGCUACACUCUUCCAUCCGCCCUAUUUUUCAUACACUCCUCUAUCAACCCCUAGAGUCCGGACCUGUACUAUAGGCAUGUCUAUUGUCCCUUGACCCCAUUCACCUCAUUUUCUCUCAUUUUAGAUACUCUCUUCUCUCUCUAAGUCAUGACCCUUUUUGUUCAUUUCAUUUUAUUUUCAUCUUUAUUUCAUUGUUUUCUUCAAUCACUCUCUUACUCAUUGCUUCUUUCACUCUUGAGCACUCGAUUCGGGGUCGUCCUGAGAUAAUGCCCUAGGGUUCUAACUCUAGAAUUACUACUCUAACCAUCAGCUCGUACAGUGUAGUCGAUUCAUAAGAGACACUGAUUCUCUUAUACUCGAUCACUCGGGUUGGGGUUAGCCUGAGUCAGUUUUCUUUAGAGUUUUAACUCUUUCACUACUCUAACCACAGAGUCACACAGUGUUUGGGUUGUGAGAGACUUUCAUCUCUCUCUCUCUCUCUCUCUCUCUUUCUCUCUUACUUUCUUUUAUCCCUUGAUCACUUUUAGGGGUUUUUUGGGUUAGUGAAAUAGUUAUAGGCUCAGUCAUGUAACUCCACUUUUUAAAUCCUCCGGGUACCAAGGCUUCAAGCCUGGUGCUUUCUUUAAUCUCUGGUAAUACCUCUUAAGAGAGGUUAUGCCAGGAGGCUACCCAAUUUUAUUUGGGUCAACCUUUGACUUCUUUUUACUUUGUUUUCUUCGUCUUCAUUUUCUUCUCACUUCUAAAAUAAGUUCUCAUCAAGUUCUUAUUCUUAGUCUCUUCUUUAUCUUAUCUCUUACUUAUUUCUCCUCCUACUCUACCCCCAAAACUAGAGCCAUUUACCCAUAAGAAGCACACCAAAGAGAAGUAAAUUAUAUUUGGAUUUCAUUAGUAGCUUUUCAGUGAGAGUUGAGGUGAAGUGUCGAGUUUAGAGAGGGGGCCAAUUUCAAACCGCACUGUUGGACAGCUGGAAGGCUUUCAUUCACUGGUCUAAGAGGGAAAUAGCCCAGGCUUAUCCCACGAACACAAACUGCGGUGAGGUAGGUGCUUGAGUCCAUCUCUUUAUUGUUUUAAAUCCUCUUAUAGUUGGACAUACCUAUCCGCACGUAACACAAGGGUCGUACACACACUUGUGAGGUCAGGUGGUUGUUCAAGAAGGGGUCAAUCGAACCUGGGUCCUCGAGGGAGCCCAAGCGAGGUAGUUCCAGGCCUGACCAGCAAUGGCUACAUUCUACUUUACACAUAUGGCCAUCCACCGUCUGUUUGUAAGACGGACAUUGGAGAUGAACCAUGCAUGGCAUGGCAUUCAUCCCUUAGAACAGGUCACCAUUCAUGACAAGAAUGGAUAGUGGAUGGCCUGCCUGUUGAUAUUGUAGCAUACCCAUUGUGUAAACAGUAUUACUUCCCCAAAUUUGAUAGAAUGUCCCUUUGUUGGAAUGAGUAAGGAAGACCACACCUCUCCAUUUUUUUGUUCUAAAAGCUUCAGUUUCUAAUUUUUAUUGAUAUUUCCUAACAACUGAAUUUCUUAGAUUCGAAACUCCUCCCUCAAAUUCUGCUGCAGACUGAGGUUUUGAUAAGUUGGUUAGUCUAUAAAGCAUGGACCUCAAUCACUGCAUGGAUUAUGCCUCUGCCCUAAUU
rnacentral:lncRNA from 1 species